rnacentral:rRNA from 1 species
CCUACGGGAGGCAGCAGUGAGGAAUAUUGGACAAUGGGCGCAAGCCUGAUCCAGCCAUGCCGCGUGCAGGAAGACGGUCCUAUGGAUUGUAAACUGCUUUUAUACAGGAAGAAACACCUCUACGUGUAGAGACUUGACGGUACUGUAUGAAUAAGCAUCGGCUAACUCCGUGCCAGCAGCCGCGGUAAUACGGAGGAUGCAAGCGUUAUCCGGAAUCAUUGGGUUUAAAGGGUCCGUAGGCGGUUUAAUAAGUCAGUGGUGAAAGCCCAUCGCUCAACGAUGGAACGGCCAUUGAUACUGUUAAACUUGAAUUAUUAGGAAGUAACUAGAAUAUGUAGUGUAGCGGUGAAAUGCUUAGAGAUUACAUGGAAUACCAAUUGCGAAGGCAGGUUACUACUAAUAUAUUGACGCUGAUGGACGAAAGCGUGGGGAGCGAACAGGAUUAGAUACCCUGGUAGUCCACGCCGUAAACGAUGGAUACUAGCUGUUCGGAGCAAUCUGAGUGGCUAAGCGAAAGUGAUAAGUAUCCCACCUGGGGAGUACGUUCGCAAGAAUGAAACUUAAAGGAAUUGACGG